rnacentral:lncRNA from 1 species
CCAAAUCAAAUGAGACUGGGGCGAAAUAUUUAAAAAAAAUUAUCCUACUUUAUUUCAGAUCUAAGGUCUGUUAGAUCUGAUUUUUAUUAUCUAAUGUUUAAUCUAAAAUUAAAUCUAAAAUUUAAAGAUUAGAGGAAUACCUCUAGGGUAACUAGAUUACCCUGUAGAUGAUCGCAGCAACGCCUGAUGUUCUAAAAUAGCCACGC